GACAGAGGGUGCAAACGUUGUUCGGAAUCACUGGGCUUACAGGGUGCGUAGGCGGCUCACCAAGUCAGGUGUGAAAGCCCCCGGCUCAACCGGGGAACUGCGCUUGAAACUGUUAGGCUCGAGUCAGCUAGAGGUACACGGAACUUCCAGUGGAGCGGUGAAAUGUGUUGAUAUUGGAAGGAACACCGGAGGCGAAAGCGGUGUACUGGGGCUGGUCUGACGCUGAGGCACGAAAGCCAGGGGAGCGAACGGG
rnacentral:rRNA from 1 species